rnacentral:rRNA from 1 species
GACAGAGGGUGCAAACGUUGCUCGGAAUCACUGGGCGUAAAGGGCGUGUAGGCGGGAAGGAAAGUCAGAUGUGAAAUCCCCAGGCUCAACCUGGGAACUGCAUUUGAAACUCCCUUUCUUGAGUACCGGAGAGGAAAGUGGAAUUCCUGGUGUAGAGGUGAAAUUCGUAGAUAUCAGGAGGAACACCAGUGGCGAAGGCGGCUUUCUGGACGGUAACUGACGCUGAGGUGCGAAAGCGUGGGGAGCAAACAGG